rnacentral:rRNA from 1 species
GAUGAACGCUAGCGGCAGGCCUAAUACAUGCAAGACGAACGGUAAGUUGAGUAGCAAUACCUAGCCAAGAGUGUCGUACGGGUGCGUAACACGUAUGCAACCUACCCUAUACAGGAGGAUAGCCUAGGGAAACCUGGAUUAACCCUUCAUAGUAUUAUUGGAUGGCAUCAUUUGAUAAUUAAAACUGAGGUGGUAUAGGAUGGGCAUGCGUCUGAUUAGUUAGUUGGCGGGGUAAUGGCCCACCAAGACGAUGAUCAGUAGGGGUUCUGAGAGGAAGAUCCCCCACACUGGCACUGAGAUACGGGCCAGACUCCUACGGGGAGGCAGCAGUAGGGAAUAUUGGGUCAAUGGAUGCAAGUCUGAACCAGCCAUGCCGCGUGCAGGAAGAAGGCCUUCUGGGUGUAAACUGCUUUUGCCAGGGGAUAAAAUUUCCAUGCGUGGAAAACUGAAGGUACCUGGUGAAUAAAGCCACGGCUAACUACGUGCCAGCAGCCGCGGUAU